rnacentral:tRNA from 1 species
GGGUCCGUAGCUCAGCAUGGAUAGAGCGCCUGCCUUCUAUCUUUACGGGAGAUAGCCGGAAGUCGAGGGAUCGAAGCCCUCCGGGCCCG